rnacentral:lncRNA from 7 species
GGGGGAUGGGAGGGGGCAGCGGCGACAGCCCCAGAGAGUGCCCCCGGAGCUCUGCUCAGCCACGGGACUUCGUGUCGGUCAGCGACACGGCUUACACGGACGGGGGUUAGGGAAUGCACCCCUUUGCGUGGAGAACGUAUUUCACAGCCUGCUGAGUUUGGCUGUGAAGGAAUCCUGACGGGCGAGCUGUCAGCGAUGCGCCCUGGCACUGCCCGCCGUGCGGCUCUCCCACAGCGCCUGCCUCAGCUCGCGUCCGAUGUCCAUUGCUCAGCACUUGGAAAGCCGAUUACUCUCUUGUCUCUCUCUCUUACCACAGAUCCAACAGUCACGUUACAGAGGGCCAAAGAUUUGUAUCUAUUACACUACGUCGGAUGCCUGAGCGCUUUUCAAACUGUUCACAAACACUGACGUGCAGCAAGAAAUCCUCCUUGUGCCACCAGCUGCUGGCCUUCAUUGAACUGAGACACAACGCAUUUAUUAGAAAAGAAGAUGAAUGUAACCAAAACUUAUACUGAGAAGAGGCGAGGACAUCUGCUGUGGCAGGUACACCACUGACAAAUUGGAAGACCAUGAAAAAGUGCUUGAGAAGAAUCCCUUUUGCUCAACGAGACUUGGGGAAUUAAGUCUUACUGGGACUCGGUGACAUAAAAAGACAUUAAAAGAUGAGCCAGGAUAAAGAAGAAUGGAAAUCCUUGUUUAUUCCAUAAGUAAGAUUUAAUGUCAUGGGAAAUACUUGGAGAUGGAAGAUUCUGUUGCCACCUGUUCCUGUUUUAUAAGGAAAUCAGGAACACAUGAUAACAAAAGAAAAAGUGCUUCAUCAUUUAUUAGAACUUUUGUAGAGACUUUCAUCCCAGUAGGGACCAGAGGGCUUUUUUCAGUGAAAUCCUAUUUGCUUCAAUCAUAGGCAAUUUAUCAGAGAUUACUUUGUAAUAUCUCUGAAUAGCUGUAACAUUCCAAAGAAUGGAAAUUAAAUCAUCUUUUCAGGACUCUACUUAUAAGCUCUUGUGUGCUUCUUUCUGUCAUGCUGUCAACUCAUCCUGGUUUCAGCUGAAUCUCAAAAUAAAUAGAUUCAG